rnacentral:rRNA from 1 species
GAUGAACGCUGGCGGCGUGCCUAAUACAUGCAAGUCGAACGCUGGAAAUCUAGCUUGCUAGAUUGAAGGAGUGGCGAACGGGUGAGUAAUACAUAAGCAACCUACCCACGAAGACUGGGAUAAUCUCUGGAAACGGGGACUAAUACCGGAUAGGUAAUCGGAAGGCAUCUUCUGAUUAUUAAAGGUUAAAAACACUGGUGGAUGGGCUUAUGGCGCAUUAGUUAGUUGGUGAGGUAACGGCCCACCAAGACGAUGAUGCGUAGCCGGCCUGAGAGGGUGAACGGCCACAUUGGGACUGAGACACGGCCCAGACUCCUACGGGAGGCAGCAGUAGGGAAUUUUCGGCAAUGGGGGAAACCCUGACCGAGCAACGCCGCGUGAGUGAUGACGGCCUUCGGGUUGUAAAGCUCUGUUGUAAGGGAAGAACGGUAGGUAGAGAAUAUCUAAAUGACGGUACCUUACCAGAAAGCCACGGCUAACUACGUG